rnacentral:rRNA from 1 species
AGAGGAGUGCUCGAAAGAGAGCCAUAACACAGGUGCUGCAUGGCUGUCGUCAGCUCGUGUCGUGAGAUGUUGGGUUAAGUCCCGCAACGAGCGCAACCCUUGCCAUUAGUUGCUACGAAAGGGCACUCUAGUGGGACUGCCGGUGACAAACCGGAGGAAGGUGGGGAUGACGUCAAGUCCUCAUGGCCCUUAUAGGUGGGGCUACACACGUCAUACAAUGGCUGGUACAGAGGGUUGCCAACCCGCGAGGGGGAGCUAAUCCCAUAAAGCCAGUCGUAGACCGGAUCGCAGUCUGCAACUCGACUGCGUGAAGUCGGAAUCGCUAGUAAUCGCGGAUCAGAAUGUCGCGGUGAAUACGUUCCCGGGUCCUGUACACACCGCCCGUCACACCAUGGGAGCGGGUUCUGCCAGAAGUAGGUAGCCUAACCGUAAGGAGGGCGCUUACCACGGCAGGGUUCGUGACUGGGGUGAAGUCGUAACAAGGUAGCCGUAUCGGAAGG